GGAAACUUGGAAACUACCAUUGAAUCGAGAAAUGGACGUUCGAGAUUCGUCCACAUCACCGUGAGUCAGUAAAAUUUUAACUCAUGAGUAAAUCUGCGAGUUAAAUUUCAACUCAUGGUGAUGUGGACAAAUCUCGGACGUCUAUUUCUUGAUUAGUUUUCAAGUUUCC
rnacentral:pre_miRNA from 1 species